CAUUAGGCAACAUUUGUGAUACUAAGAAAAAGAGAAAGUGGGAUCAGCCUGCUGAGCCAUUAGUUUCAGCUGGAGUUGCAGGGGUGUCUGGUGUUCUCCCAUUAGGCAACAUUGGAUCUCUUGCUGGAAUCUCUCUUCCUGGGAUUGCUUCAGUCUCUGGUACUUUUUUAACUAAUCAACUUGUGGCUAAUUGUGCAACCAGUCCACCAGCGUAUCAGGUGCCUUCUUUACCACAAAACAAUGCUAUGGCAGUCCCAAAAUCAAAUCAAGUGAGCUCCAUUAACUAUUUUCCCUUUGAAUAGCUCCCCAUGAGUAAGUGUAUCUAUAUUGCCAAAAGGUUGUCGCAUUGCUUCUGCUGAGUGUUGUAACGGAAAUUAUAGACUUUCAAGAAAUCAAGAAGCCUUGUUGUUCAAUAUUUUAAUCUAGUCACAUUUAAAGUAACAACUUUUCAUCAGUUUUGCACACUUUAAAUAUUUUCAAUUUCUGUUUUAAAUAGUUGCAGUUGCUGUUAAAUAUUUGCAUAUCUCAUAUCUCUUUGGUUGUGUAAACAUUUUUUUUUGUCUCAGCCUAAGAUCCAGGAUGAGUUAAUAAUUGCACGAGAAAUUGUAAUAAAUGAUGCAGAGUCUUCUGUUCGUUACAAGCUUACAAAGCGCCAGACACAGGAAGAGAUUCAGAAGUGCACUGGCGCUGUGGUUAUAACUAGGGGCAAGUAUCGUCCACCAAACGCAGCACCUGAUGGUGAAAAGCCAUUGUAUCUUCACAUAUCUGCUGGGGCUCAUUUAAAAGACACUGCAGAAAGGAUUUUAGCAGUUGAUUGUGCAGCUGCCAUGGUUGAAGAAAUGCUGAAACUGGGUCCGAACAUACAAAAUUCUUUAGCCACUUUUCCAUCAGCUGCAGGCAGUGGAGUGAAGACUCAUCACUGAACAUUGCUGAUCGAAUACGUGGACCAAAUGUAAGUUUUUAUUUUCUUUGCUGCUGCUGUUGUUUUUCUUUAUCAUUUGCAGGAUUUGGCAGAAUUGUUUCAUAUGUUCUUAUUAAUUUUAGAUUCUAGAUCCAUACCAUGUUGCACUGUUGUCAGGAAUUUCAUUCUACACAUAAUUUAGAUAUGUAGUACAUUUGUGGUUGUACUAUGUGAGUUAUAUUUGUUGCCCUAACAUGUGUCUAGCUUCCCAUCUCUUGGUUUAAGCUACACUGUUUGAAUAGUUGAUUUUUAUUUUUUAUCACGUUCGAUGAAGAUGAGAGAUUCUAAUGUUUGAAGCUUUCUCUCACAUCUCCAUAUCAUUGGGAGAGAUUGUUUUUGUGUUGUUGGUGGUUUGGUUUUGUACAUGCAGGACCAGUAUAUAAAUCACAUUAUGAAUGAAACAGGAGCAACUGUUGUACUAAAAGGGCAUGGCUCUGGAAAUUUUGAAAGCCCAAGUGGUGGAGAAAGGCAGCAACCAAUUCAUCUAUUCCUGUCCGCCAAUAAUUCAAAAAGUCUUGAAGAUGCAAAACGUUUGGCUGAAAACCUUCUGGAUACUAUUAGUUUAGAAUGUGGUGCCUCCAGGGUUUCAUCAUACAAUGUUUAUGGUGCUGUUCCACCACCUCAGCAGAUAUUGGUGGGGGUUCAGAGUUCUGGAAAUGAGCAUAAAGUAAAUACAAGCCCAACUGCUGGUUUGACAUCGUCAGCAAUGAGCUCCCCACCACGUAUUCUAGCUUCUUCAGUUGCAAUCCUUGGGACAACUUCUGCCUUUUCCCAUGGGACUGUAUAUCAAUCUGGGGCAAUGGUCAGCCCUGGGCAGCCUCAACUGAACUUGGUUGGGCAUCACCAGCCACUAGUGAAUGGAGGAACAAGCUAUAGUGGAUAUGGCGGGAUAUAUCCUCAGGCCACACCUCUGCAACAAGUUGCUCUAGCCCUUAGACGGUCAACAUCUCCAACAACUUCUACAGUUGGACCUACAACGUCAAUUGCAAGCAAUUUGCCAGCUCCUAGUACAAGCUUCAUUCCUGAAAAGGAGAAACGUCCUACACAGAAGCGAAAGUUUCAGGAGCUACCAAUAGGUUCAAAGGCCUCCGCAAUAUCUCAUCAGGUAUUUUCUCUGACCUUCUAAGAAGCUAACAGGCUGAUGCUGGACCUCUCUAUUAGGGCCAUUGGUUUGUAUGUUUCACAGGGUUCAGUUUUGAAGGCACUCUGCAAUGAACUUUUGCUGCUAAAGAGCUGUGAUCAAGGAUCUAUAAGACCUAUAAUAUUCCUUUAGACAUAUUAUGCCUGAUUGGUAUCGUCAUAAGAUGCACCAACUGAGUUCCUCUCAGCACAGUUGUUGCAGCCAGAUUUUGAUACCAAUAUCACUAUAUGAUCAUGUGGGGGUGGAAUACCUUUUUAUUCAAGAAUGUCUAUAAACUCUACUAUCAAGCAGAAAUUGCAUCAAAUAAAUAAAUAAAUAUGGGAAAAUAGAGGAAAAUGUGGCUCUGUGCAAGAGCUGACACUACUGGUAAUGGUUAAAUCUCUUCACUAGCAAGAACAUUGCCUUGGCUUCUUGAUUGGAACUACCAAUCGAGCAAACUUUAUUAACUUGCUAAAUCCUCAAUAUUUGUGUUCAUUGCACAAGUAAUCACAAAUACAAUGUUUAUAAUGCCAUGAUAAGGACCACUCCACCAAUUCUCUCUUUUAUUUUAUGAUGUUCUUGUUCAUCUGUUUGUUUGAAUAACAUACAUCAGAAUGAUUUACUCCAUAACCUUCUAGUUUGUCUGAUAUGAAAUUUAAAGAUAUUUGUACCUUUUCACCACAUUGAGUUAGACAUAUCAACUGGAACUUUGAUGAGCACAUUUUUUUUUAUUUCAUUUGUUAGUGAAAAUUUAAGGCUUGUGUUUCUAUGUAGAUGCUCUUAAAAGACGCUGCUAAUACUUGUUCAAGGGUGUUGUGUUUGGCAUGCAAAGAUGCUGAAUAAUUUGUGUAUCUCAAUUAAACUGUUUGCUAUUUGCACCCAUCUCUUCUUCUACUGUGUUGGUUUUAAAGGAAUAAUGGCGUUUAUGUCGUGUUGAAUUUGAUUUGAGAUUAUUACUUUUUUCUUUCCAUCCAAUAUCUAACUGAUAUUGAAAAUCUAGGCUUGCACUUUUCUCCUAACUCGUUGCAGGGUUCAAAGUUGUUAAAGCCUGGUGAGCAAGCACUGGCAGAUGGUGUGAGAAAUACAUCAACCAUGCCUGCUUCGAAGAAAUUGGUCCAGCCAUCAUUGAAUGGAAUGCCACCACCUGCUCCCCAAAACAUGCCCCCUCCACCUCCACCUCCACGAACUAUGUCUCUGCCACCAUUAUCAAAUGGAAUGCCACUGCCACCUCCAAGAACCAUGCCCCCACCACCGCCACCUCCAAAAUUUAGCUCAUCAAAUACUGCAGAUAGAUUGCAGACAAAGAGCACUGUUUCCCAUAAAAGCAAAUCUGAUACUGUAGCAGGUAAAUCAAACUCACACUGCUUGGUCUUGUUUUUACUGGUAAGUUGUUUACCUGUCAUGACCAAUGCAUUUGCAUGGAGGAACCUUAGAUAAUGAAGUCAACAACACCAUAAUAAAAGAAAGAUGGUGUUAGUAUUGGCCACUUGGUAGUUUGAGAGGAUUUGUCAUUUGCUUCUGAUUCACUUAAUUUUCUUUUCUUGGACUGUUCAGUUGUUUCAGAUACUCUGGUAAAAUUAAUGGAAUAUGGAGAAGAAGAUGAUGAUGGUGAGGAAACCAGCGAAGAAUCUGAUCCUGGGAACUCCAGCACAGUGGCAGUUCGAAAACCUUUUUGGGCUUUAUGACUAGUAUCGUUGCUUCAACUGGUGGAUUAUUGGCAAUGAGUCUCUAGCGAUCGUAUGCAGAUGGAAUAUGGAUGGUGAAAUGUCCUUUUAGUAUGGGAAUUUGAUCGUAGACUUAACUGUAUGGUAUUCAGGAAUUCUGAUAUCCAUUUAUCGCAGCUGUUAUAGGGUGGCUAGGGAGUAGAGAAGAUCUGUGUUGUAUUUUGUUUAUAACCCGAGGAUAGAUGUACAUUAAUGGUUUAUUGUAUUCAGAUUUUAGUCGUAGAUUAAGUGUCAAACUUCGUUGCGCAGCACCUUUGUGCUGUCGAGUAACAUCGGAAAAUGGUGCCUUUUGUCCCUUGUGCCGGCGGAAUGGCUGAUAAUAUCGAACUAAGGAUUUCAAAUCUGGUUCAAUCUUUAUUAAAAGAAAUGGUUAAGGA
rnacentral:misc_RNA from 1 species